AUUGGCUACUGUAGAUAACGUGUGUGUCCCUCCCCUGCAUGGGAGCAGGGCAUAAAAGGAAACUGUAGCUUGAAUACCUGUUGUUGUUACUUCCAGUAAAGUCUUGUUCCAGCAUUAAGCCUUGGCUCAUGUUUGGGGGAUUGGAAAACUACACUCUGGGGAUUGCUAUAAUCACUUACUCCCCAGAGUAAACUCUUGCAAUAGCUUGAUUUGUUCCUGCUACGCUCUCUGGAUUUAGGAGAGGUUCACCCACUGGGAGCUGGAUCCUGGUCGUGGAUCCAGGGUGGGUGGAGACGGCGAGACCCCGGCGCAGCUGUAUCGCUGGAAGUGGGGUCUGCAGUGUUGAUG